UACGUAGGGUGCAAGCGUUGUCCGGAAUUAUUGGGCGUAAAGAGCUCGUAGGCGGUCUGUCGCGUCUGCUGUGAAAACUCAGGGCUUAACCCUGAGCUUGCAGUCGAUACGGGCAGGCUAGAGUGUGGUAGGGGGAGAUCGGAAUUCCUGGUGUAGCGGUGAAAUGCGCAGAUAUCAGGAGGAACACCGGUGGCGAAGGCGGAUCUCUGGGCCAUUACUGACGCUGAGGAGCGAAAGCGUGGGGAGCGAACAGG
rnacentral:rRNA from 1 species